UUCCUACGGGGCGCAGCAGUGGGGAAUAUUGGGCAAUGGGCGCAAGCCUGACCCAGCAACGCCGCGUGAAGGAAGAAGGCUUUCGGGUUGUAAACUUCUUUUCUCAGGGACGAAGCAAGUGACGGUACCUGAGGAAUAAGCCACGGCUAACUACGUGCCAGCAGCCGCGGUAAUACGUAGGUGGCAAGCGUUAUCCGGAUUUACUGGGCGUAAAGGGCGUGUAGGCGGGACUGCAAGUCAGCUGUGAAAACCAUGGGCUCAAACUAUGGCCUGCAUUUGAAACUGUAGUUCUU
rnacentral:rRNA from 1 species